AUGGUCUCUAGACUUUUCUGCUGUGUGGCCCUUUGUCUCCUGGGAGCAGGCCCAGUGGAUUCGGGAGUCACUCAGUCCCCCAAACACCUGGUCAAAGCAAGAAAACAGCAAGUGACACUGAGUUGUUCCUAUAUCUCUGGGCACCGCUCCGUGUACUGGUACCAACAAGCCCAGGACCAGGGCCCCCAGUUCCUCAUUGAGUAUUACAACGGGAAGCAAAGUACAAAAGGAAACAUCCCUGACCGAUUCUCAGUGCAACAUUUCAGUGACUAUCGCUCUGAGCUGACCAUGAGCUCCCUGGAACUCUCGGACUCGGCCCUGUAUCUCUGCGCCAGCAGCGAAGACACAGCCCUGCAUGCUAGGCAGCCUGCUGUACAAAAAGACCUGUACUGCAUUACUGUCUCUGUGGGAGAAUUGAGUAUUGGCACAGGGCUUCUCUUUGGCCACAAGGAGGAGCUAUGA